rnacentral:lncRNA from 1 species
CACCCCGAGCUGUCAGGCGUUCCGCCGCGGCCGCGAGGCCCGCCGGCCGGCUAGGAGCUACGCCCGGACGGCCAGCAGGCUCGCGGGAGUGGGGCGGCCGCGGCUGAGGCGAGGCGGGCCGCGCGCGUCGGCGUCAGAGCCCGCGGCAGAGGCGCCCAGGGCGGCCGGGCCCACGACGCCGAAAGCGCCGCUGCGGUUGCCGCCUCGGAGGCUCCCCCGGGCCCCGGCGGCUGGACCCGGCGCGGGCGGGAGCCUCGGGCGGGCGGUCUGGCCCGGGACUCGGGUUUGGGCGACCAGGAGGCGCCGGUGGCCGCGCUCGGACCCGGUGACUUAAGAGGUUAAAAUUAAUUUGGUUGCUGAUGGUUCUGAACAAAUAGAGUUCUUUUAUUUGAGGUAUGCCAUUUUGAAGACUGAGACAUUGGAGUUUUAUCCUAGAGGAUAAAGGAAAUCUUUGGGAAAGUCAGUAUUUUAUAUAGCAAAAAUAUGAACCUCAAACUGAAUCCUCUAAGGCCCCAUACAAUGAAGUAGACAUUGGUGGAAGCAUUUACACCCAGUCAGCUUGAAGAGUUUCAAAUGGACCCUACCACUGAGAAAUCAAGAUGGCAGUCUACUAUGGGGAAUUGAGGAAAAUGGAUUAAUACAAGAGUCCUGUGAUAAUAUACAACCAAGACAGGGUUCUUUUAACAUGGAUUCCAUGCAGUGAAUGAAGACAUAGGUUUCUUACCCAACACAAAUGGACAGUGGAUUUGACUUUCUAAAGACUUUUUUUUGUGGACAUUUUGACAUUUGGAGAAGAAAG